rnacentral:rRNA from 1 species
UACGUAGGGGGCUAGCGUUGUCCGGAUUUAUUGGGCGUAAAGAGCGUGUAGGCGGCCAGGUAGGUCUGCUGUGAAAACUCAGGGCUUAACCCUGAGCUUGCAGUGGGUACGGGCAGACUAGAGUGCGGUAGGGGAGACUGGAAUUCCUGGUGUAGCGGUGAAAUGCGCAGAUAUCAGGAGGAACACCGGUGGCGAAGGCGGGUCUCUGGGCCGUAACUGACGCUGAGGAGCGAAAGCAUGGGGAGCGAACAGG